GGCUCGGUAGCUGAGUUGGUUUAGCGGCAGCAGGGUGAAACCUGUCGCAGUACGUUGGUUCGAAUCCGACCCGAGCCG
rnacentral:tRNA from 1 species